rnacentral:rRNA from 1 species
UACGGGGGGAGCAAGCGUUGUUCGGAUUUACUGGGCGUAAAGGGCGCGUAGGCGGUCAGCACAAGUCAGUUGUGAAAUCUCCGGGCUUAACCCGGAAAGGUCAACUGAUACUGCGGGGCUAGAGUGCAGAAGGGGCAACUGGAAUUCUCGGUGUAGCGGUGAAAUGCGUAGAUAUCGAGAGGAACACCUGCGGCGAAGGCGGGUUGCUGGGCUGACACUGACGCUGAACUGCGAAAGCUAGGGGAGCGAACGGG